rnacentral:pre_miRNA from 1 species
CAACUACUCCCUCUGUCCCAAAUUUCUUGUCUUAGAUUUGUCUAGAUAUGGAUGUAUUUAAUACUAAAAUGUGACUUGAUACAUCCGUAUCUAGACAAAUCGAAGACAAGAAUUUUGGGACAGAGGGAGUACUUU